rnacentral:rRNA from 1 species
UACGGAGGGUGCAAGCGUUAUCCGGAUUUACUGGGUUUAAAGGGUGCGUAGGUGGGUAGGUAAGUCAGUGGUGAAAUCUCUGGGCUUAACCCAGAAAUUGCCAUUGAUACUGUAGGGCUUGAGUAUAGUUGCCGUUGGCGGAAUAUGACAUGUAGUGGUGAAAUACAUAGAGAUGUCAUAGAACACCGAUUGCGAAGGCAGCUAACGAAACUAUAACUGACACUGAGGCUCGAAAGUGCGGGGAUCAAACAGG